UAGGGAAUCUUCCACAACGGACGAAAGUCUGAUGGAGCAACGCCGCGUGAGUGAAGAAGGGUUUCGGCUCGUAAAACUCUGUUGUUAAAGAAGAACAUAUCUGAGAGUAACUGUUCAGGUAUUGACGGUAUUUAACCAGAAAGCCACGGCUAACUACGUGCCAG
rnacentral:rRNA from 1 species